rnacentral:antisense_RNA from 1 species
GGGCCUGGAGGACUCUGGAGCUACCUCUAGCUGCAGCACUGCCUCUGGAUGGGGACUUCCCCAUGCUGUGGGCUGUGGCUCCAUAGCGGGCACUGGAAGUUCCUCUCUCUCUGCACGUGUGGCAAGAGCUGAAAAAGGAGAAAGGGUCACUGAGCAGGUUUUCUGUGUCUGAGCCCCAGAGUUCAAUCUCUGCUGACCAGACCCCCACUGACCAGACCGCUGAGCGGUGGUGCUCAGAGUCCCCUACCAAUGGCCCUUCUCAGUCCACAGACCUCUCCCUCCCCUCAUCAGCACCCACAGGUGACUGAGAGUCUUCUCGGGACUGGACCCCAACUCCAGGACACAGGGAGGGGCAGUUGGUCCCAGGCUCCGGGUGCUGAGCUUCACGCUUGUGCCACAAGGUCCUCUGGGCCAUCUCAAAGGGGGCAGUGAUGUGGCCUCGCACAUCUGGAUGCACUGUCUGGGCCUAUUCCUGGGCCACGUAGCCAGAGGAACAGGAAGAUGUUUGUCAACCCAGGCACCCCACUCUGCUGGGUCUCCCAGUGUCCUUCCCAUGGAGGCCAGAUCCAGAGACACAGCACAGAGGCCGCAGGGUGACCGGCCCAGAACCCUUGAGACUAGGCUGGGGAUGACAGGAGGACUGUCCCCAGACAACCAGAAGACCCUUUGCUAGUUUCUUGGUACUUCAUUUCUCGCCUGCUACCCUUACUCCACCAGAAAUCCCCUUCAUGCAGAGUCAAUGAGGAGAGGAAGACGGACACAGAAUCUGUGGAAAGAAAGAAAACAAAAGGUGGGUGGGGGGAAGAGCUGGGAGUGUAACGUUGUAAGGGUCCUACACUAUGCGUAUUAUUUGAGGGUUGGCUGUGAUUAAUUAAAGGUGUGCCUUGUAGACAACCAUUACACACACUAUAAAUAAAUUAUAUAUAUAUAUAUAUAUAUAUGGAGAGAGAGACAGAGACAGGGUCUUGCUCUGUCACCCAGGCUGAAGUGCACUGGCCCAAACACAGCUCACUACAGCCUUGACUUCCCAGGCUCAAGCAAUCCUCCCACCUCAGCCUCCUGAAUAGCUGGGACUACAU